CCAAGGGGUCACUGACUUGGUUGCUGGCGAUGCCUGAAGUCCAGGCACAGCCCUCGGCGAAGCCGCCAAAAGCAGUGGCUUAAUUAUUCCAUCCAUAAAUGAUAAGCCCUGUUCAUUUCCAGUCUUCAUGACAAAUUUAUGGCCUUAUUUAAUGUGCUUACUGCCCGACCUUCCCUGGCAUCACAAGAAAAUGGGGGCCCCUUUCUGGAGGGCGCAGUGGGAGGUUCUUGCUACUGCAGCCUCUAGGCCAGGCAUCUCUUCCUACUCCCCCACCCCCCAAACCCAGGAGCAAUUAAGGCCUCUGAUCCCAGGUUGGCCCUGCCUGUUGCAGUGUGCAAACCCAUUUUCUCUGCUUGACUUCCCUGGGAGACAUUGGAGCAUCAAAAUUAAGGGCAGAGACUCUGGAGUCAAGAGGACCCAGGUUCAAGUUCCAACUCUGUUAUUUCUGACCUGUGUGUCCUUGAACGCAUUCCUUGCCUCAGCUUCCCACACAUGAGGAUGAGAUGAAACAGAGAUGGGGUCUUGCUAUAUUGCCCAGGCUGGUCUUGAACUCCUGGUCUCAACUGAUCCUCCUGCCUUGGCCUGUCAAACUGUUGGGAUUACAGGCUUUCUGGUGAAGACAAUUUGAUUGAUCUGCUGUUCCUGCUGCUGGUACCACCGUCUGCUCUCCAACCUGCCUGUUUGUUCACCCGGGGAUAGAGGAGGUUGAGGUCUUCUGGUGUGCAUAUGUGGAGGGGAGGUGUUGGGAGAUGAUGCUGACGUUUGGGUUGGGACAGCCUGGAGCUGGGACUUACUGACCCCUGCCUGGUCAGGUCAGAUAGCGAGGUGGACCCCUCUCUGUGCUCUGCCAGCGGCCUUUGCUGUGUCACUGGGAGAGGAUGACACAGGCAUCGCAAAGCAGCAGGGUAAAGGUGAACUGUUACUUGCCACCUGCCUGAGCUUAGACAGCUGUUCACAGUAAAGACGGUGGCAGGCAGACCUGGUUCAAAUGCAAGACCUGCUGCUCCUAGUGGUGUGACCUUGAGCACACUCCUGCACGUCUCUGGGCCUGCAUUUCUUCAUCUAUAAAAUACAGACAACCCGUAAUUCCAGUCUUGGAGGGUGUUGGGAGCAUGAAAAGACUCAGGGGUGGCUGCAGCAAGGAACUCGGAACCUCCAGAUGCUUUACUCUUCCUCACACCCCAUAUCUGAUGGAGGAAUAAGACUUGCCAUUUCUGCCUCCUAAACUUUGAAGCGUGAAUCCUGCCUGGCACCCAGGAAGCGCCUGGAACAUGCUGUGUCCUGAUGAAGCCAUUGUUUGGGUCCUGCUGUCCUUUGCAAUUGACCGUAUCGCAGCCAAUCUGUUCCUUGCUCUGCAGAGAGAGGGACCUUCCUAACAUGAAAAUCCCUUUACUACAUUGCUCCCCUGCUCCAAAGCCUGUUGUGGCUCCUCAGUGCCCUCCAGACAAGAAUUUCAUGCUCCUCCCCAUGCCCCCUGAGGACCUCUGGUCUAGGCCCAGCUGACCCCGCCAGCCUGGUGGCUGCCCCCUUUACCACGCUCCAGCCUUGCAGAUCUUUCUUCAGUACCUUAAGCAUGCCAAGCUUGCUCCUGCCCCAGGGCCUUUGUCCUUGCUGUGUCCUCUGCCUGGAACCUUCUGCCCCUGGCUCCUUUUUCAUGACUCCACUUAAAUGUCACCUCCCCGGGAAACCGCUUCAUUUAAAUUAGGUCCCC